rnacentral:rRNA from 1 species
ACGUACACUCCUGCGGGAGGCAGCAGUGGGGAAUAUUGGACAAUGGGCGCAAGCCUGAUCCAGCCAUGCCGCGUGAGUGAUGAAGGCCCUAGGGUUGUAAAGCUCUUUCACCGGUGAAGAUAAUGACGGUAACCGGAGAAGAAGCCCCGGCUAACUUCGUGCCAGCAGCCGCGGUAAUACGAAGGGGGCUAGCGUUGUUCGGAUUUACUGGGCGUAAAGCGCACGUAGGCGGACUAUUAAGUCAGGGGUGAAAUCCCGGGGCUCAUCCCCGGAGCUGCCUUUGAUACUGGUAGUCUUGAGUUCGAGAGAGGUGAGUGGAAUUCCGAGUGUAGAGGUGAAAUUCGUAGAUAUUCGGAGGAACACCAGUGGCGAAGGCGGCUCACUGGCUCGAUACUGACGCUGAGGUGCGAAAGCGUGGGGAGCAAACAGGAUUAGAAACCCGGGUAGUCCCA